rnacentral:tRNA from 1 species
GGGGAGGUGGCCGAGUGGUUUAAAGCGCUAGACUGUAAAUCUAGUGAUUAUUGUCGUCGUAAGUUCGAAUCUUACCCGCCCCA